rnacentral:rRNA from 1 species
AUUGAACGCUGGCGGCAGGCCUAACACAUGCAAGUCGAGCGGCAGCGGGACCUUCGGGUUGCCGGCGAGCGGCGGACGGGUGAGUAAUGCCUAGGAAUCUGCCUGUUAGUGGGGGAUAACGCGGGGAAACUCGCGCUAAUACCGCAUACGUCCUACGGGAGAAAGUGGGGGACCCUCGGGCCUCACGCUAACAGAUGAGCCUAGGUCGGAUUAGCUAGUUGGUGGGGUAAAGGCUCACCAAGGCGACGAUCCGUAACUGGUCUGAGAGGAUGAUCAGUCACACUGGAACUGAGACACGGCCCAGACUCCUACGGGAGGCAGCAGUGGGGAAUCUUGGACAAUGGGGGCAACCCUGAUCCAGCGAUGCCGCGUGAGUGAAGAAGGCCCUCGGGUCGUAAAGCUCUUUAGGCUGGGAAGAAGUGUAUGGUAGGAAAUGACUGUACAUUGACGGUACCAGCAGAAUAAGCACCGGCAAACUCUGUGCCAGCCGCCGCGGUAAUAC